UACGUAGGGGGCAAGCGUUGUCCGGAUUUAUUGGGCGUAAAGAGCGUGUAGGCGGCUUUGCAAGUCCGUUGUGAAAACUCGAGGCUCAACCUCGAGACGCCGGUGGAAACUGCAAAGCUAGAGUCCGGAAGAGGAGAGUGGAAUUCCUGGUGUAGCGGUGAAAUGCGCAGAUAUCCGGAGGAACACCGGUGGCGAAGGCGGCUUCCUGGACCGACACUGACGCUGAGGCGCGAAAGCUAGGGGAGCAAACGGG
rnacentral:rRNA from 1 species